rnacentral:rRNA from 1 species
CGGGUGGUAAUGCCGGAUGUUCCAGUUGAUCGCAUGGUCUUCUGGGAAAGCUUUCGCGGUAUGGGAUGGGGUCGCGUCCUAUCAGCUUGACGGCGGGGUAACGGCCCACCGUGGCUUCGACGGGUAGCCGGCCUGAGAGGGCGACCGGCCACAUUGGGACUGAGAUACGGCCCAGACUCCUACGGGAGGCAGCAGUGGGGAAUAUUGCACAAUGGGCGCAAGCCUGAUGCAGCGACGCCGCGUGAGGGAUGGAGGCCUUCGGGUUGUAAACCUCUUUUAUCGGGGAGCAAGCGAGAGUGAGUUUACCCGUUGAAUAAGCACCGGCUAACUACGUGCCAGCAGCCGCGGUAAUACGUAGGGUGCAAGCGUUAUCCGGAAUUAUUGGGCGUAAAGGGCUCGUAGGCGGUUCGUCGCGUCCGGUGUGAAAGUCCAUCGCUUAACGGUGGAUCCGCGCCGGGUACGGGCGGGCUUGAGUGCGGUAGGGGAGACUGGAAUUCCCGGUGUAACGGUGGAAUGUGUAGAUAUCG